rnacentral:lncRNA from 1 species
AGGCUGGUAGCACAACAAUCUCACUACCAGGCCAUUAGUAUUGUUCAAGCGAUUGUGCAACAGCUACAACUGCAGCAAUUUAGUGGUGUCUACUUUGAUCAGACUCAAGCUCAAGCCCAAACUCUGUUGACCUUCAACUUGCCAUCCAUAUGUGGUAUCUACCCUAACUACUAUAGUGCUCCCAGGAGCAUUGCCACUGUUGGUGGUGUCUGGUACUGAAUUGUAACAAUAUAAUAGUUCGUAUGUUAAAAAUAAAGUCAUACAUCAUCAUGUGUGACUGUUGAAACUUAGGGUCAUAUAAAUCUAAAUAAAAUCAUCUUACCUAUUUAAAUAGCAUUCCUCUAUGAGGAUAAAUCCUAUUACAUUAUCGUAGCUAAUUACCAUCACAGGGACUUUACAAUUUUACUAUAUGCAUGCAUUUGAUCCUAAGCUGCUUUGGCUAUUAGAUAUAAAUGAAGUGCAUUAAGCAAGUUCAACCUUUCAUUCCCAAUAGGAACGAACUUGAAGCACAGAUGUCAAUUACUAUACCCCUAACAAUUGAUACACUAUAGCAGCGGUUGUAGCCGCAGCUGGAGGAUUCGCUGUCGAGCAGACCAUAUACCUGAAUUUAAACCAUGUCAAAUAUCCGUAAUGAAUAACAAAUAAUUUUAUAUUGUGCAUAUCCAAUGAAUAAUCAAACAUUUGCCUUUCGACUGUAAUGCUUGCAUGGCCUGCUAUUGUAUUGCUCUGGAAACACAUCUUUAACAGAUGUUGUAUUAUCACAUACAUUACAUUGGAGGAGAAGGAUUUAAGUGAUCAUAUAUAGAACAGAGGAUAUGAUGUUUUAGAAAAAAGAAGAUUAAUAAUGUCAAGAAUACUUUGUGAAACAGUGCAUGAUGCAGGCACAUCACUUGAUACAUUAAAAGCGCUGUAAAAAAUUUAUGCUGGGGAACUAAUGCACUACUACUAGCCUCACUAAUAUCAUCAGUUCGCGGUAUGUAACAAGCUAACAUUCUACACUGCACCACCCCAUCCAUUCUUGCUUUUUUCUAUAGAACACAAGAAGGAACAUCAGUAACUGGAUGCAUGUGUGCACCGCCAGCUGCCACAGUGUUGGCCAUUAUCUCUUUCUUCAAGGCAUUUCUUCCCAUCAACUCCUGCUUGACACAAGCAGGACAAAAAUGUAGCUUUGGUUAAGUCAAGGGGAGUCAGUCCAGCUAUAGAUGAACCAGCGCCCUUAUUAUUGUGAUUACUGCCCUAGCUCACACACCGGAAAUGGACUCAAAUCUUAAAGGCAUGUGAGCUUCUAACGAGCCCACAUUCCAUCUAGGUAACAUGAUAUAUUGUAAGGCUCUAUUUUUUUCAGAUUAUUAAAAUGGAUUAUUUGCUCCAUGCUUUAAAAUAUAUGUUUGCUCCAUAUUCUAAGUCAAGUAUUUUAUUUAGGGUAAUUAUUUUGAUCCUAGAGGAGACAUCCUAGGAUUUCUCUAAACAUCAUGAAAAUAGUUAUAGUAAAGAAAUUUCGUAAUAUUUAUGUGGUGUACAUAUUCCACCCUCACAAAUUAAUUUUCAAGUUAAGCUCAGUAGCAAAUCGACAAGUAAAAAAGGACAGGUCCAGCAUAUAAACGUUCAUGUGCAAUGUACAUACGAAUUUAUUUAUUUUGUUUCUCAAUGUUCAGAUCCAAUUUAAACUUGGUUUUUUCGUUGAGUAGUAAAUUGUCAUUGUACUCUAUAUUGUCAUUUUGUUAGGGAAUCUUUCAUUACUGUGUGCACUGCAUCGAAGAGAAAAAAAGGGCGUGUAAAUGCAUAUCCUCUAUUAAAAUCCGACUUCUAUAUAUUUUGCCCCAUUUUCUCUAUAAUUUCUAGUGGUUAUUGAUUGAGAACAGCUACAAAUUACUUACUAAGCACCUUUCAUGGGCACUAUAUAACUCAUGCAAUUCUUAAGGUUUACGAAUGCGAAUACAAAUAGAAAUUCGCUGUGCCGACCUGUUUUCAAAGAUUAAAAAAUUGAAACAUCAAUCAGAAACCAUUCCAGAAUGGGCCAAAAUUUGGAAAACAAAUUUUGAAUUCCAUGGAGAAAAUUAACUGGCUGGCAAUUGCACAUUUGCACUGCUUUGCCCCUAUAAACAUCUUCGAGUAGCCAUUUCAUUAUUCCCAGUAAAAUAUUAAUACUCCUUAAUCAAGAACUGCCAUAUAGGUCAUUUCUCUUGGUACUUCAGUUCGCUCAUUUAUUUCUCAUAAUUUAAAUUUCAAAGUAAUAAGCGAUAGAUCAGGAUCCAUGAUUUGAACAUGCAACUUUAAAGUAAUGCAGUAAGAUAUAGAUCGGUGUCCAUGACUUGAACAUGCAUGAACAGUAACCCCACUCGUGAGUUAAAAAGAUAGAUCCAUGAUUUAAACAUACAUUCGCAGAUAUUUGAUCAUUAUAUGUUGUAAUUAUAUUCUCAUAAAAAAAACUAAAAAUGCUUCAUAGCAUUUGUAUAUUAUGCCAAUAUUGAGAUAAUUUCGAUAUCUCAUAUGUUUUAGAUUGGAACAGAUCACGAAAGUUUUUCUUCGAAAAGUUAUGGUCAUUAGGACAUGAUGGAUUUGAGGUAACAAAAUAGAUGAGAUUUAUUAAAACCCUUGAAAUAGUCCAACAAUCCAGCGCUAACAUUUAGCACAGUGUAAUUCAAAAGAAGACAACCACAGAAACACACAGGGGAUGUUUUAAACUCCAAUUUUUAUAUAUUUGGCAUUAUUCAAAUUGCAAACAAAUAUGAUGACUCUCUUUCUCAAAGAAACAUAUGCCGUUAGGGUGAUCCCAGCGCUUCACUUAGAAUGGUUUUUCAUAGCAUUAAAUGAUAUGCCACGUAGGAAAAAACAUGAUGUGCCAUUUUAUUAACUUAGGAAAGAGAAGAAAAUUGGGUCUUCUCAAAAUGAUCAUCAUCUAACAAAAUGUCUCUUUGUUUAUUUGUGCAAAGAGUAAAUGUGCAUCGUGCAAUGUCAUGCAUGCUGCCAACCAAGAUUAAUUUCUAUUUAGUUGAACCUGUGCAACAUUUAAAGUGUGAAGUAAUUUUUGUUGGACUUGAAGCGACAAAGCACCUUGGUCGAUUAGGCCAUCCCCAACCCAUGGUGUCCAUGGGUGGUGUCUAGAGCAGUGAGAGAUCAAUAAAUGCAUAUAUGGACACUACCUCCCCAUUGCAUCGUUUAUAUACCAGUUUUCAUAGGCAAAAAAAAAUUAGUAGCUCUUUGCAUGUAACAUUAACAGAGGAGGGUCAGCUGUGGCAAGCAAGCAAGCAGACGCGGGAGGGGAGGCGCGCAGCAGGCAUGGUGACGGGGUAGGGCGCAGCGGAUCGAGAUGCGAGGAUUUUUUUUUGGGGGGGUGGGGUGGGGGGAGAGAAACGAGUCAUCCAACCCAACGCGGAUUUAGCUAGUUUCCAGUGCCUUGGAACAGCCGCCGAAACGGUGUCGCGCAUGCGACCUGGUUUCUAUGUUUUUGCUUCUUUCUCUUCUUUUAUUCCGUUGCCACAUCAACUUUUUGUCUAGUUGGCAGCCUAAUUAAUUCUAUGGAAACCAGGUGACAUGGAGGGUUGGGGACAUGGUGGAAAAAACCGGAACGGGCCGACAGUUCAACCGGAAAAAACCAGAACCCGUUCAGUUCAAAAGAAAGACCGGACAUGCAUAUGACCCGCUUUGAACCGGCAGAACCGGUCGGUUUUUCUAUGAACCGGUCAUUAAACCGUCCCCGGUUAGACCGAACAAGCCACAAUAAUCUUGAAAUGGGCCUUGAUGUGGCCCAAUUGGUCUGCCUAGAGCGUUUUGGUUGGCAAAAAUCAAUCUCCUAUUCUCGGCACGUGUGAUAUACAAUGGUAAGUGAGAUAUACAAUUCUCGGCACGGCUACAUUACAAGGUGUCGCAUUGUGUCAAUGUUUGGUUAAUUUGCUAGAUUCACAUAAUACAUGCCAGGAAGUUCAGAACAAUGUGUUGCCUUUCACCGGAAAACUUUGUUGGAGCAAAUGCCUUCUUCUUUUUUGCUUCUGCUUCUUGAGUCCAUGUGGAGGAAGCAGUAGAUAGCUGAUGAUAUCAGGAUUCCUUCUGUGUCUGUGUAGGUGUAGCAACACCACUAUAAUUUUUAUUUAGCAACACAAUAUCAAUUUGGUCUAUAAAAGUAUGAAUUAAAUCAAUCCCCAACCACAAUUAGAGUAAGUUGGUGAGUUAUUGUAAAGCUCUGCAAAGUUAAUUUAAAAGUUAUUGCAUUAACUUAUUUCGUAUCACAAACAAGUUUUCACAAGAGUAUUAAUGGAACAAUGAAAACCAUUGAACAUACUAUAAUUUUUUUUCUUACUGAAAUUAUAUAAUUCAAAGAGCAUAAACCCACACAGUCGUAAAGUUCCACGUGUAGUGCAUUAUCAAAAUAAUAGCUUACAAAACAUAACAAACUUAGUUUCAAAAGUUGCAAUCCUUAUCACAUUGACACAUAAAGUGAGCGAUGAGUCAUGUCAUUAUUUUUUUGCUCACCAUCAUGUAUAUAUGAUGGGCAUAAAAGUUACUUUGAUGAUGAUAUCAAAGAACAUUUUUAGGUGCACCUAACAGAAUAUCCAAAUAAUAUGACUCACUUAGAUCCUAAUAUAGCAUCAAGCAAAACUAACACUCUAAAGCAACCGAUAGGGAAACAUCUAUAAAUAGACAAGCAUAAUGAAAACCCUCCUCAUCCUUCACACAAUUCAAACAUUAUAGUUGAAGCAUAGUAGUAGAAUCCUACAAAAAUGAAGAUCAUUUUCGUAUUUGCUCUCCUUGCUAUUGUUGCAUGCAACGCUUCUGCACGGUUUGAUGCUCUUAGUCAAAGUUAUAGACAAUAUCAACUACAAUCGCAUCUCCUGCUACAGCAACAAGUGCUCAGCCCAUGCAGUGAGUUCGUAAGGCAACAGCAUAGCAUAGUGGCAACCCCCUUCUGGCAACCAGCUACGUUUCAAUUGAUAAACAACCAAGUCAUGCAGCAACAGUGUUGCCAACAGCUCAGGCUGGUAGCGCAACAAUCUCACUACCAGGCCAUUAGUAGCGUUCAGGCGAUUGUGCAGCAACUACAGCUGCAGCAGGUCGGUGUUGUCUACUUUGAUCAGACUCAAGCUCAAGCUCAAGCUUUGCUGGCCUUAAACUUGCCAUCCAUAUGUGGUAUCUAUCCUAACUACUACAUUGCUCCGAGGAGCAUUCCCACCGUUGGUGGUGUCUGGUACUGAAUUGUAAUAGUAUAAUGGUUCAAAUGUUAAAAAUAAAGUCAUGCAUCAUCAUGCGUGACAGUUGAAACUUGAUGUCAUAUAAAUCUAAAUAAAAUCACCUAUUUAAAUAGCAUUCAUGUAUGAGGUUGCAUUAUCAUAGCUAAUUACCAUCACAAAGAACUUUACAAUUACUAUGUGCAUGCAUUUGAUCCUAAGCUACUUUGGCUAUUAGAUACAAAUGGAGUGUAUUAAGCAAGUCCAACUUUUCAUUCUAAUAGGAACAAACUUGAAGCACAUAUGUCAAUUACUAUAUCCCCAACAAUUGAUACACUAUAGCAGUGGUUGCAAUGGCAGCUGCAGGAAUUGCUAGUGAACCCAACAGCCCAUAUAACUGAAUUGAAGCCAUGUCAGACAUCCGUAAUGAACAACAAAUAAUUCCAAAUAGUGCAUAACCAAUAAAUACUUAAAGAUUUGUCUUUCAACACUAAUGUUUGCAUUUCAUGCAAUUGUAUUGCUCUGGAAGCACCUUUUAACAGGUUGUAUCAUCACAUGCAUUACAUUGGAGGAUAAGGAUAUAAGAGAUCAUAUAUAGAAUAGAGGAUAUGGUGUUUUAGAAAAAGAAGAUGAAGAAUAUACAUUGUGAAACAGUGCAUGAUAUAGGCACAUCACUUAAUACAUUAAAAGCACUGCCAGAAAUCUAUGUUGGUGAACAAAUGCUCACUGGUUGUCUCACUUAUAUCACCAUUCACCAAGUUCACCGUAUGUAACAAGCACUUGGCCCCAUGGUUCCCCUUACCGUUUUUGACGCGGUUACCACAUGGUUACCGCAAAAAACCGUGUGGUAACCGUGAGACAUACCGUGGUUUCAAAAACUAAAAAGGUUACCGCGUGUGAUAGCCGCGCAGUUUUGUAAACCCUGCUUGGCCCUACACCACCCCAGCCAUUAAUUCUUGUCCUUCUCUGUACAACGCAACGAGGAAAUACAUCAUGGGCAUAGGGAAUAAUUAGCAAGUUUAGCAAAAAUGAAUGGCACAAUUGUAUAGCAUGAGUGAUGAUGCAAUGAGGAAACAUAAGAACAUCAGCCAGGUGUUUCUCCCCCUCAACUCCUGCUUGUCCCAAGCAAAACAAAAAUGUAGCUUUGGUUCAGUCAAGGCGAGUCAGUCCAGCUAGAGAUUAACCACCUUAUUAUUACUAUUUUUUUAUUAUUACUACCCUAGCUUACCCAAAAAAAUGAACAUUUUUCAUUUUUAAUUUUAAAAAUAAAUCCAUCCAAAACUUAUUUUCAAGAUUUGAACAUUUGACCACGCCAACUAAACUGGCGUGUCAAAACAAUACCGUCAUGCCACUCCCGCUGGUCACACCGGCGGGGACCGACCUCACUGGUAGGGGUGGACAAAAAAGCUUGGGCUCGUGAGCUCGGCUCAAGCUUGGCUUGGGCUCGCAUAGCUCGGCUCGGCUCGAAAGCCAAACGAGCCAAGCCCAAGCCUCCUUCCUACCUCGUUUCCGAAACGACCCAAGCCCGAGCUGGCUCACGAGCCACUCGUGAGCUCGCUUGGCUUGGUACAAUAGGGUCAUAUGCAAAAAAAAAUUACACCUUUUCUAACUAUUUAUUUGUUGAAAAUUAUAACUUUGAUUGUCAUAUUAUCUAUUUAUGUGUUGUGAUGACAUAUUAAAGAAAAAUAUCGCUUUAUUACACAUUCUAUGUGGUAAAAUAUUGCUCAAUUUCUCCUAGUCUUGCUUGAGAUUUACUUGAUGCCAGGCUCGCUUGGCUCGGUACAAUAGGGUCAUAUGCAAAAAAAAUUACACCUUUUCUAACUAUUUAUUUGUUGAAAAUUAUAACUUUGAUUGUCAUAUUAUCUAUUUAUAUGUUGUGAUGACAUAUUAAAGAAAAAUAUCACUUUAUUACACAUUCUAUGUGGUAAAAUAUUGCUCAAUUUCUCUUAGUCCUGCUUGAGAUUUACUUGAUGCCAGGCUCGCGAGCUAGCUCGAGCUGGCUCGAGCCCAUAAACGAGCCGAGCCGAGCUGCAGUUUUAGCUCGUUGUUUGUAGCGAGCCAAGCCAAGCCGAGGUUCCCUUGCACCAAGCUUUCAUGAUUCCACCCCUACUCACUGGUGUGGCAGCGUUAUUUGGCCACGCGUGGCAGGAUAAAACCGUCACGUCCGCUACAGGUGGUGUGCCAGUGUCAUCUUGUCACACUAGAUGAGCUAGUGUGCCUAAAAGGUUCAAAUUUUAGAAAUAAUUUUGAAAGGGUUUGUUUUUAAAAUUUAAAAUUAAAAAGGUUCAAAAAAUUAAAAAAAAUCCCUAGCUUACACACCGGAAAUGAACUAGAAACUUAAAGGCAUGUGAGCUUCUAACGAGCACACGUUCCAUUAGGUAAUCUGGCAUAUGUGACAUAUAGUAAGGGCUCUAUUUUUUUAAUUAUUUGCUGGAUUAUUAAAAUAGAUUAUUUUCACCCAUCCCAUAGCUGGUGAAAACAUUCCCCACGCUGUUCCGAAUAACAAUGCCGACGCUACCAAUUUAUUUUCACCCAUCCCAUAGCUGGUGCCUGCCACACACCUGCCACUUGGGUUCUUUCCCCGCACCCAUUCACAUCACUUUGUCUUCCCUCCGACACAAUUUUUCCUUUCUCAUUUUCCAGCGUUGCACUGCCAGACGGGCACAAGGAAUUCCAUAGAUUCAGAAGGAAAGAUGCAGAGCCCUUUACCGUCGCUUGCCCAGAACCGAAGACACAGUCAUUACGCAGGUACCAAGCUCGCCAUAGGACAAGGAGAAACUGCGCCCGCUCGUUUUCGCUCAGCUUAUCGAGUCCCCCAAGAAGCCACCCUGGGCCUAGCUUCGACAGGGAACGCUUAUCCGGUAACCUCCAGCUCGCCCGCAGAGUUUCACGGAGGGCCCUUGGCCGGGUACAUGAAAUCACCGCGUGAAACUCGUCUUCCUCCCCCUGGCCGCAGAUAGUACAGGUCGCAACUGCUUGCAGCUUUCGUUUACACCUGUUCUUCUGGGUAGCCAGAUAAUUUCGGGCUAGACGCCAGGCGAAAAUACGGACCUUUGGUGGCACAGGUGUACUCCAAAUUCUUCGCCAGAUGGAGCGAUCACCGUCCGUUUCUCUACUACUGCCUUCUCCAUCCGGAUGGAACUUGUUCAGCCACGCUAAACGAUAAGCAGACCUCACCGAGAAAAUCCCUGAUUUUUCGUAGUGCCAAGCUAGGAAAUCCUCAUCCUGGUAUGGCGACAAAUUGAUUUUCAGGAUCUCUUCCACAUCAAGUGGGUGACAGACGUGCUUGAUCAGAUCAACGUCCCAGCUCUUUUCCCCUUGUUUCAGCAGCUGCGAGACCCAGCGAAGACGGCAGCGUCCGCUCCUUCCCAUAAGCAUGAGAGAGGAGGCUCGGGGAAUCCAUUUAUCCCGCCAAAUCCUGACCUUGGUCCCAUCCCCAAUUCGCCAUAUAAGUCCUGUCUUCAGCAACUGCAACCCAUGUUCAAUCCCUUUCCAUGUCGGAGACGCUUCAGCCGGGAAGACCGCAUCUACUAGUUCACAAUUAGGAUAAUACUUAGCUUUUAAUUAGGAUAUAUAUAUGUAUAUAUAUAUAUGUAUAUAUUGUAAUAUUCCAGUAUUCCACCCCCCCCCCCCCCCCCAACCCCAAAACAACAAAUCAGUUUUCAAGUUAAGCUCACUAGCAAAUCGACAAAAAAAAAAAGGGCAGUCCAGCAUAUAUAUAUAAACGUUCAUGCACAAUGUACAUGUACAUACGAAUUUAUUAGUUCUUUUUCUCAAUGUUCAGAUAAGUUUUGUUGAGUGAUAAAUAAUCACUGUACACUAUAUUGUUAUUUUUUUAAGGAAAUCUUUCAUCAUUGUUUGUACUGCAUCGAAGAGAAAAAUGGGUGUGUAAAUGCACAUUCUCUCGCGAGAGAUUAAAAUCCAUCUUCUAUUUUGCCUUUUUUUUCUCUAUAAUUUCUAGUGGAUAUCGAUUGAGAACAGCUAGAAAUUACUUAUAAGCAUAUUUUUCAUGGAUUCUAUUUAAGAUACAAAACUACUACACAUGGGUACAUGCUAACCAAGGUUUACAAAUGCAAAAGCGAAUAGAAAUUUGCUGUGCCGAGCUGUUUUUCAAAAAGAUUAUAUUCUUUUCUCCCAAAGAUGAAGAUGAAGAUUAAUUUUUUUCGUAAAACGAGGUGAUAUUAGCAUAUGAUUGAUUGAGUUUUAAUUAUAACAAACUUGAAAAUAGAUUAAUAUAAUAUUUUAGAACAACUUUCAUAUAGAAAGUUUCCACACGAAACGUACAGUUUAGCAGUUUGAAAAGCUUGCUACAAAAAUCUUAAUCUUCAUCCAACAAGAAGAACGGAACCUAAACGAUAGAUCUGAAUCCAUGACUUGAACAUGCAUGAACAGUACGGUGAGUUAAAGAGAUACAUUUCGAUCCAUGAUUUAAACAUACAUACAUAACUGGGUGCAGAUAUUUGGUCAUUAUUUAUUGUAUUUGUAAUUAUAUACGUACUCAUAAAAAUUAUUAAGAACGCAGUAAAUUCAUAAAAUUAAGCAGUUUUCAUGGCGAAUCUAAUAACAUUAUUUUCACAUAUAACAUUCGGAUAUUUUGCCUAUCAUGAGAUAGUUCGUAUAUCUAAAUUAAUCCCCAACGAUUUUCUAGCAGUGAUUCAGAUAUCACAGGCUAAUCUCGUAAUACAUAAAGAUGAUUAUGUUCAAAACAUGAUUUAGGUUAAAAAAAUUCCAAGCGAAUCCGUAAACUAUAUUCAUGUUUCAGAUAGCCGGCCUUUGGUUGAUUAUGAAAAACGAUUAUAUUAUUCACAUUUUAAAUAGUUUUGUGCUAUAGACAUGUAUAUGAAAGACAAAACGAGUUAAAGAAAACUUUUUUAGAAAAAAGAAACUGUGUGACCACGAUCUUGAUACAGGAAAAGUUUGAAUUAGUAUGUUCAAUUCUGUUCAUGUACAUUUGCUAUAUAUAUUAUUGCCUUCAUUUGCAAUUAUACUGAAUACUCGCUCGAGGAAUAAAUCGGUACAUGUACGCAUGCCUCUCAAUAAUUUGAAUGUGAAUUUGAGAGUACGUAGUUCAUCUCAUCAUAAUCAUCCACACCCAAAUAAAUUACUACAUUCCGAUUACUCAUAAAUAAUAGGUAAAACUAAUUUCAAUUUGACUUGAUUUCAUCAAUGGAUCUUCAAAUCAAAUCAAAUUUCAAACCCAUCCAUCAGCAGUUACCAAUCCUGCCAUCCCCGGCAUCGGUGAAGAACCUCUUCCAGAACCAAUGGCGGCGCCACACCGUGUCGACCAUCUCGUCGAUGGGCACCCCCUUCGUCUCCGGCAGCAGCCAGAAGACGAAGGCGGCCAUGAUAACGAUCCAGAUAGCGAAGAAGAAGAAGAUGAAGGCCUUCAUACUGCACAUCAUGGAGAGGAAGGCCUGCGCGAUGAGGAAGGUGAAGAGCAUGUUGGAGCUCACGGCGAAGGAGAACCCCGUCGUCCUCGUCGCCAGGGGGAAUGUCUCCGACGGGAUUAGCCACCCCAGGGGCCCCCACGACCACGCGAAGCUCGAGACGUAGACGCAGAUGAGCACCACGAUCGCCACCGCCCACUUCUCGCCCGGAUUGCCGUUCGCCUUCACGUGUUCCCACAUGAUCGCCCCCACCGCUGUCUGCCAUGGAUCUUUCAUGUUAGUUUGUAGAACUAAAGGAACGCGAAUGCUAAGAAAUGACCUAAUAUCAGAUAAUUAGAAGGGGUGAGGCUUCGAAUACAGGUCGUCCCCACCAUCUUGCGGAGCUAGCCGGAAAACCUCUUGCCGUUUUUUGGGUUUCUCGAACUGGGAGAGGACUUAUGUAAAAGUUUAUAUUAAAAAUUAAUAUAUGUUUCAAAAUUUAAAUGUGUAGUGUAUUUAAAAGGAAGUUAUAGUAAAAUUAUAUAAUAAAAAGAUAUAUUUAAGUGCAUCAUAUAUUUAAAAAGAAAAGGUAACAUAAACAUGUACUCCCUCCGUUUUUUUAAUAGAUGACGCCGUUGACUUUUUCUCACAUGUUUGACCAUUCGUCUUAUUUAAAAAAUUUACGUAAUUAUAAUUUAUUUUGUUUUGGGUUGUUUUAUCACUCACAGUACUUUAAGUGUGAUUUAUAUUUUAUACAUUUGCAUAAAAUUUUUGAAUAAGACGAAUGGUCAAACAUGUAAGAAAAAAUUAAUGGCGUCAUCUAUUAAAAAACGGAGGUAGUAGAAAAAACUAUAUUUUAAAAGCCAACUGUGUUAUAUAUUUAGAAAUAGAGAUAUAUAUACAAAUAUGUAAUAUGUUUAAAGGCUAAAUUGCUUCGUGUGUAAUAUAUGUAAUAUAUUACCUGUGCGAUGAGCAUUUGGCCGCAGGCCUGGAGGAGGAGCCUGCGGCGGCCGAUCUUGUCGACGGCGACGAUGGAGACGAGCGUGGAGACGACGUUGACGCCGCCGGUGACGACGGCGGAGAGCAGCGACCCGUUGCUCUUGAACCCCAUGGUCUGGAAUAGCACGGGCGCGUAGAACAUGAUGGCGUUGAUCCCCGUGAACUGCUGGAACACCUGCAUCGCCACCGCGAUCACCAGCGGCGGCCUCGACUCCCGCCGCCGCAGCCUCCGGUACGCCGACUCCUCCGCGCUCAGCGCCGCCGCCGCCUCGCAUGCGCGCGCGAUCUCGUCCAGCUCGUCGCCGACGUCGCGCGUGCCGCGGAUCCUCUCCAGCGUGGCGCGCCCGGCGUCGCGCCGCCCGCGCUCCACGAGGCUCGUCGGCGUCUCGGUGAUCACCAGCGAGCCCAGGAACAGCACCGCCGCGGGCACUCCGGCGCCGCCGAGGGAGUACCUCCACCCGGUGCUCGGGUGGGCGCUCGAGGUGAAGUAGUUGACGACGUUGGCGAUGAGGAUGCCGAUGGUGACGUCGAGCUGGAAGAGGAUGUUGAGCGCGCCGCGGAUGUGCGCCGGCGCGAUCUCCGACAGGAACAGCGGCGCCGCCUGGUUGCCGAACCCGACGCCGACGCCGAGGCAGAUCCUCCCCACGAUCAGCAUCGCCAGGUUCGCCGCGCCGGCGCACAGCGCCGUCCCGCCGAGGAAGAACACCGACGCGAGCUGCAUCGUGCGCCGCCGCCCCAGCCGCGUGCACAGCCUCGACGCCGCGAAGCUGGCGGCCAGCGCGGCGAGGUACAGCGACGAGGUGAACAGCUGCAGCCGCUGGUCGUCGAACUUGCAGUAGUUGUUCUCCCUCGCGCGGUGCUUCCGCGCGUACACCGACGGGAAGAACUUGAUCAGGAAGCCGUCCAUGGCGGUCACGCCGCCGGAGAUGCCGACGUCGUAGCCGAACAUGAGCCCGCUCGUCGCCGCGAUGAUGCCGCACAGCCACACGUACCACGUGAUCUUCCCCUUGAACUCCCGCCGCUCGCCGCCGCCGGCGACCUUGGCCUCGACGGCGAAACCACCCGCCAUUGAUGACGUCAACGACGACGACGAGAUCAAUCAAAUGGAGAUGAUGAGGAAGAAGAUGACCAAGAGGUGGUCGAGUAUAUAUAGAGGAUUUUAUUAAUGGAGAUAAGAUGUGGAUAAAUUGGAGUGAUCUCAUGCAUUCGCAUGCAGAUAAAAUAAAUUAAAAUUGAAUUGAAUUUGAAUUAAACUUGGUCAACGAACAGAUUAACUGAAGGGGUUUAAUUAAGCAGAUCGGAUUAGUUACUAGCUAGAACUAAUCAGGAUAGAGUUUUCCGGGGGGUUUUUUUGGGGGUUUUUUUCACACGGUGACGGUGACAUGCAUGCAGUUUAGGGGAGUUGGAUUAGUCCUUUUUUAAGGAAUUUAUAGUUGGAUUAAUGGUUAGGAGUAAUUAGGAUUAAUCGGAUCAGCCGAUCUCAACAGUGACCAGUUCUCCUGCGACAAGCCCGUUCGUUCUCUUGACACGUGGCACCAAUUCAUUCGCUCUCAAUCUAUUAAUGGUAAUUUAAUCUCCAACCCAAUCCAAAUGCAAAAAUUGAAAGAAAAAAAAACGCGUUUCUCACAAGAUGGACUGUUCCUGUGAUGACUAUUUUUGUCUCUACAGGCCGUCCUAAACUCGUAAAUAUAUUAUCUCUACCGUGUAUUUUAUUAUUUUUUUGAAAAAAAAAAGUAUGCACAAAAAUGGAUUUUGGCCAUUAAUUUAUCUCUAUUGAUUUUUGAAAAAACCUUUACAUGAUUUUUAUCUGUCGCUCUGUUCUGCUUAUGCCAAAGAUGGACGUUGUGCAAAAUUGAAUUGAUCAAGAGCAGCUUGUGCACAGUAAUUCUCUGUUGUAGUAUGCCUUUUGCCUCGAAACUGAUUAAAACAGAACCCAAAAUAAAGAGCAUGAGUUAACUAAAGAAAGUUAACCCGUAAUCUUGAUGCUAUAGCAUGCUUCAAAAUUAUACCCUCGAAUGCUAAAAAAAUAGUACUCCCUCCGUUUCAUAAUGUAAGUCAUUCUAGCAUUUCCCAUAUUUAUUUUGAUACCAAUAAAUCUAGACAUAUAUAUCUAUCUAGAUUCAUUAGCAUAAAUAUAAAUGUGGGAAAUGCUAGAAUGACUUACAUUGUGAAACUGAGAAAGUACAGGUAAUAAUCAUCACUUAUAUUUGUCGAAGAACAAUAUGAAAAGAAAGCUAUCAAGCAGGUGCCUUAUUGCAAAGUUACAAUACACACUGGCGAAUGAACUGCAAACUUAACUUAUGUGUCACUAACAACUUAGAAACGAGCAAACAAAAACCAGUCAGUUCAUCGUCUUAGACUAAAACAGGCACCCUGCAGACAAGUGCCUUGAUCAAACGGUUUUUACACGGCAAACCAACAGACGAAAAUUCACCAGUUAAACACAUUUCAGCAUCUCUUCGUACGCAUAAGAACUCUUCAAGCUUCUGAGCUUCAUCAGGUGUUUCUUUGACCGCCAUAAUGUUUCUUUCAAACUCCUCGCCUUAUCUCUGCGAAUUCACACAUAAUAUGAGCUUAGGGAAACAUUGCAGAAGAUAUUGGCCAUGUUUUAAUUGGCUGGCGAAAAUCGUAUGCUACCUGAAAUGUGGUUCUGGGAGCUCAUUCUGAGAUAGGCUUGCGAACCAAAAAGAAGUACAUCGGCGUGAAGAUUUCCUUCCUGUAGUUAAUAUAUUUGCAUUAGAACUUUGCAUGAAGUAUUAAACAGGAGAGGAAAUGGAAAAACAGACAGCUGAACUGGAAUUCCAGAAUUCGUGACAAUUAUGUUGCUUUUCUGAUUCCUGGUGCUGAAAUAUGAAUCAGAGACAGACUUACUUGCCACCUUCGACGAGACCUUCAGCUGCCUUCUCUAAAAAGUUAGAUACCCUUUCACUUCCUUGUGGGGCAAGGCCGACGUAUUCCAAUGCCUUCACCUAAAAAAUAACAGAAGAGGAUCUCAAUUCCAUUUCCAUGCGAAUCAAGAGUGAAUAUAUACCAUGAUUAAAUCAGGCUGUUAUGGCCAGUUACAGUGGACAAAGCAGCCUGAUCUUUGAAUAUUCAGUGUAACAAAGUUUUGAUCGAAUUUACCAUACAAGCAAUUUAGCACAUCUGCUGAGCAGAUUAUGUCAAGUCUACCCGAAAUUUGAUACUUCUAGAAAAAAAAUAGUAUAGUACUUUUAAACUUUGCUAGCUAUUAGUAUAAUUGUUUGUUUUAUUUAUUGUAAAUGUCCAAAGAAUGACUUUUCUAGCUAGCCCUGGUAGAACUUCUAUAGGUUUUCAUGUUACAUAAACUAUUACAUGAACCAUUGUUCUCAAAACCACUUUUAAAGGCAGCAGGGAACCUAAAACUUCAUUAAUUAUUUUCCACCACAAGAUUGGUGUGCCCCCGAAUGUUCAUUGGUAUUAGGCCACAUGUCACUGAAACAAUGGAGUGGCACUAAAAUGCACCCUCUUUGGGAUGCCAACUCCUCAAUUUUAAGCUUUUUUCUGUUCAGAGGGAGGAAUUUGAUAAGAAAGAAUGUCUAUAGUACGCUUUACUCCAAGGGACAAAUCAAACUUGAUUUCACUGUGCAUCUUGAACAAUCAACUCAGAACAUAAGGUGUAGCAACAAUAAAGAAUGACUACAGAUGUAUCUGUUGGCCUUACCAUUGUGCGAGUAAUUGCACGCCCCACAGUAGUCAGACGGAAGCUACUCAAGGAAAACCGGCUUGGAUCCAAGGGCAGGUACCAAGGAACCGGGGAAUCUUCAGCAAGGUCUUUAUCCCAAAUAACCUUCACAGAAAAAAAAAUUAUGCCCAUGGGAAAGGAAUAACAAAUAACAGAAGUGUUCAUGAAACUGUGCUGCUUUGAAAGAAAACUGCUGUAACUGGCCAGAGUUUCUAAACUAACAAUAGAGGUGGGCUACUCUUCCAGCCAUGGGUUUUCCUCAGGUAAACCCAAACACACAAUCAAACAAAAGAGAGGUAAAGCACAGCGUCUACAUUACCUCAAACCCAGCAUCUUUUGCAGCUUGAAGACAUUGUUGAGUGCUUCGGAUAUCUGGCAGGCCAUUGCCAAGCUCGAUUUCAUCCUUGAUCCUCUUGUGUGUUGCAUUGUUCGGUUCAUAGUGAUCAGUAAUACACCACUCAUACACAGCAAAACACUGGCCAGGCUUCAAUACACGAUAGAUCUCCUUAUAGCAGCCAACCUUUGACAUGAAAAAACCAAUUGACUUUGUGUCGCAAGGAGGGAUUAAAGUUGAUGAUGAGUUUUAAUAUACAAGCAAUAAUUUGCAAUCAUACCGGAUCAGGUGCGUGGCAUGUUGCCUCAAUGGCAUAGACAGCAUCAAAAGUGUUAUCAGAAAACGGCAUCUUCAUGAAGUCUGCCUGUAUAGAGACCAAUAUGUAGAAUGUAACUGUUUGUCCUUCAGCUUAUAUAUAUUGUCAAAUAAGUCUUCUCUGUACAGCUAAGCAAGUGCAGAGAGUCUACGCAAGGUAAUUUGCAAUAUGUGAUGGUUGCUGGAAAGGGAUAAAUAACAUUUGCACAGAGAUGCAGCUGCAAAUAGAUGAUUGACUACUAAAAGAUGGGGGAAAGAGGCAAAGAGCCAAAAAGAAUGUCUAUUUUAGCUAACUAUACCUUCACAAAGUCGCAAGUUCCACUAACUCCUGCUACCCGAUUAAGCUCCUGGAUAUUAAAACAAAAAUCUUAUGUCAACACAGGAGUAAUGUGAUGAACAGCAAACGCUGAAAACUGUUUACUAAUCUGAAGUUCUUAACCAUAUGCAGAAGUAGAGUAAAUCAAAUUAAGUAAGGGAACAUCAAUUAACCUUUCCCCUAGUUAUCUGGUACUCAUUGUUGUUCAAUCCAGUGACUGAAGCCAAGCUGCAGGAAACAGCAGAUCAUGGCCACAUUAGUCAUCUCUAGUUCAUAAUCCAUAGUGAGGGGAAAAAAAGAGAAGUUUCCACACUUUUGAGGACAGUAUUUUAGCAGAAAAUGGAUCAUCAACACUGAUAUUUGGGAAAAAGAAAUGCCCUAAGUAAACAAUGAGCUCAAUGCCAUCUUCACCCAAAAAAAUAACAUAUAAUGAGGAAGUACAGGGUUGAUACUUAACGACGUUGUCCUGGCACCAUUAUCCAAGAUCAAUUUACCACACGUUUAAUUUUUAAAUGUCAAAUAUUUAUUAUGCAUAUUAAAAUUUCUGGCCCAAACACAUUACAAGCAAGUGGACAGAAGGCCCAUGAAUCAAACCUAAAUUUGGCAAUUUCUCUUAGUGGUCCGCCUAUUCCACAACCGACGUCCAAAACCUACAGUAGGGAAGUGAAGUUAACACUUUCAUUCUAAUGUUGUAGUGUAGAACCAGCAGGAAAUCUUUAUGAUAGGUUUAAAUAGGAAAAUUAACCUUCAUUCCUGGUUUCACUCCAAGCUGAAGGGCAAGAAAGUGCUCAUGUCGCUUAAUGCUUUCACGUAGGGAUUCUCCAUUCCAUCUAAAACAUUCAGGAACAUGACAAGUUUCUGUCACUAGAUGUCAGGUAAUAUGCAAAACUUCAACUACGUUCUCGUAUUUCAUUACAAUGAGCACAGAUGAUCUCUCUAAAACCCUCACCUGUGAGCAAAGUGGAAGGAUUCACCCCAACCAUACUCAUAGAAGCUGGUGGCAAGAUCAUAGUAUUUAUUAACCUGAUAAGGCAUUAAUGCAUUAGUUGCUAAUAUAAAAACUGAAAAACCCAAAAUUAUCUCCAAUUAGCAUGGGGUAAAUGGGUGAUGCAGCAAACAAAAAAUUGUCACAAACUCUAAAUUUGAAGGUUUCCUUCUUUCAAACAGAAUAAAGAGGGGUUCAAUUAGAAAUAUGUGACUAAAAUACAAUUGACAUAUAGCAUAAACAGCAGAACCUAGAAUAUGUGUACUGUCUUGCUUCAACACUCAACAUGACAAUUUAAAAAGCACAAUAUUUGAGUUGUCUUAGAUAUCUCUUUGAAUCAGUCGUGCUUAGUUAAAUUUAUAAUCUAGUCAAGAAGAACUGAAGAUUAACAGCUUUUUAUCGUGCAAAAGUUGAAGCAAAUUACAGACAAACAGUUGAAGCAAAUUAUGCAGAUAUAAUCCUUUUAACUGAGCAUCUAGAAAAUGACUUGAGUAGGAAAGCAACAAAUUUACAAAAUAAGAUAUUCACAAAAAUGUAAUAAUUCUGUCUUCUGAGAGACUAAGAUGAUUUACCAUGUCUGUGUAGUUGGACUUUCUUGCUUCUUCUUUUCCUCCAUAGUAUCCAUGGUAUUUCUCAUACCUUGCAAAACCAAUUUAUUUAAAAUAAAUAACAGUAAAAUACAGGCCAAGUUCUGAGCACAAAAAUCCUUUUUCUGAGUGUCAAUAAAAUUCUUGCUAAGCAGUUGAUAUGUUUUUUAUACAGGGUAAAUAUUGAAUGUAUUGACAAAUUCUUAAUAGAAUGUGCUAAAACUGGCAUAGAUAGAGAUAGUUUAAAAGAGGAUAAGCUUGUUUUAAUAAUUCUGUAAUGGUGCCACAGUAUGUACUCCUUUCCUUGAUUAACCAUAGAGCAUAGUUUGACCUUGCACGAGAAAUCAAGGAUUAAAGAGGUGACAAAGGUGAUGAAACAUUAGAGAAGAUGACGUGGGUGCACUCUCAUUAUUGAUUCAGAAAGAUGAGCGAGCAUACUUUGUGGCAGUAACAAAUAAAAGCAAAUGAGAAGGAGUAAAAGACAUGGGAAUGGUAGAAAAAGCUCAUAUCUUAUAUUUAUUGCUGGGUCUUUGGAAUAUUAAUGGGAGGGGAGUACAAUACGUAUGGACAAGUUGGCAUGGCUUGAAGUAGCCUAUAUAGUGAUGGCCUGAUGGGCGACCACAAAGCAUCACAUUCAAUACACAUGAUAAAAACCUAGUACUAUUCUAAUAAGAUGAAAUAGGUGCAAUGCAUCAGGAGUUUUCAGAUGUCCAGAACUGCUACCACCAAAAAAGAAGAAGAAAAUUUCUGGGUGCAGAACGAAAAGUCGAGCAAACAACAGUGAGAAAUUACGAAAUCAGUGAAUCUGUGCUUUCCUUGUUUAAUCUCAGUCAUACAAACUGAAUUCUGAACCCUGAACUCUGAAGAGAUGCAUUCAAGUACAGCACAGCAGACAUGCAAGUACAGUACAUCACCAGAAUCAAACCUGCAUAUCUAAAUCUAAAUCUAAAUGCCAACAAAAAUAAAAGAGAGAGAGAAAAUAAUAAUCAACCAACGCAGAGAAACAAAGAGCAGAAGAUGCUUUAC